rnacentral:rRNA from 1 species
UACGUAGGGCGCAAGCGUUAUCCGGAAUUACUGGGCGUAAAGGGCUCGUAGGCGGCCAACUAAGUCAUACGUGAAAUCCCUCAGCUUAACUGGGGAACUGCGUGUGAUACUGGAUGGCUUGGAUUUGGGAGAGGGAUGCGGAAUUCCAGGUGUAGCGGUGAAAUGCGUAGAUAUCUGGAGGAACACCGGUGGCGAAGGCGGCAUCCUGGACCAAUAUUGACGCUGAGGAGCGAAAGCUAGGGGAGCAAACGGG